rnacentral:rRNA from 1 species
CGGGGUGCCCAGGCGCGAAAACUUUGCAAUACACGAAAGUGUGACAGGGUCAUCCCGAGUGCCGACCGCUGAGGUUGGCUUUUACCCAGUCUAGAAAGCUGGGGGAAUAAGGAGAGGGCAAGUCUGGUGUCAGCCGCCGCGGUAAUACCAGCUCUCCGAGUGGUGUGGACGUUUAUUGGGCCUAAAGCAUCCGUAGCUGGCUGAACAAGUCCCCUGUUAAACCCACCGAUUUAAUCGUUGGUCUGCGGGGGAUACUGCUCGGCUAGGGGACGAGAGAGGCAGACGGUAUUCCCGGGGUAGGGGUGAAAUCCUAUAAUCCCGAGAAGACCACCAGUGGCGAAGGCUGUCUGCUAGAACGCGCCCGACGGUGAGGGAUGAAAGCUGGGGGAGCGAACCGGAUUAGAUACCCGGGUAGUCCCAGCUGUAAACGAUGCAGACUAGGUGUUUGGACGGCCACGUGCCGUUCUAGUGCCGCAGGGAAGCUGUUAAGUCUGCCGCCUGGGGAGUACGAUCGCAAGAUUGAAACUUAAAGGAAUUGGCGGGGGAGCAC